rnacentral:lncRNA from 1 species
UUUAAGGGGAUAAGAGAGCUUACUUGGGAUCUUCCUGGGUGCUUGAUAGGUACUGAUGUCAUGCCUGAUCUGAAGAGAAAAGAGCUGUUGGACAUUAAUGUCGGUUUGCUCCAAAUAAGGCAGGUUUGAGUAAAUGAGGAUCCUCCUGAUCCAAUGGUUGCUGGUGCAUGGUAUGAACUUGUAGAACUCUUCUGGAUCUCUGGAUAGACUUCCUGAAUGUAUAGAUUGAUCUCCUGGUCGCCAAUUUCUGGUUUGAAGCUGAUUGAACCGGCUAGCUUCCAAUUGAGGCAAGUGCAGAACUGGUUUGGCCGGUUUUGGAGAUUGGAUCAUAACUUCAUAAUUCCAUGUUCAUUUCUCCAGAUCUUGGGCUUUCUGGAAAUAUGAUAAACUUCUCUUGACUCCUAUGAUGGGCUUUGCUUGAGGCCGAUUCUUCAUUGGGCUUGAAUCUUCUUCUAAAGUCGGGUACUCACAGAUGGAUGGGCUGAGAAAUCUCUGACUUGUAAAAUUCAUAACUUCUUGCUCCGUGAAUACUUUGGCCUGAUUACAAUUGGCCUGGACUCCUUAUUGAAUGUAGAAUCCA